ACGAUAUAGGCACGGUCGCAGAUGCCCAGCGUCUCGCGCACGUUGUGAUCGGUGAUCAGCACGCCGAUGUCGCG
rnacentral:tRNA from 1 species